AAAGCUUCUGAAUACUGACGGAUCGUGGAGUUUACCACAAGGACUUCGGAAGCAGAUCAUAGCCGACCGUCUGGGCAGUAUUU
rnacentral:ncRNA from 2 species